rnacentral:rRNA from 1 species
AUUGAACGCUGGCGGCAUGCCUUACACAUGCAAGUCGAACGGUAACGCGGGGCAACCUGGCGACGAGUGGCGAACGGGUGAGUAAUGUAUCGGAACGUGCCCAGUUGUGGGGGAUAACUGCUCGAAAGAGCAGCUAAUACCGCAUACGACCUGAGGGUGAAAGCGGGGGAUCGCAAGACCUCGCGCAAUUGGAGCGGCCGAUAUCAGAUUAGGUAGUUGGUGGGUAAAGGCUCACCAAGCCGACGAUCUGUAGCUGGUCUGAGAGGACGACCAGCCACACUGGGACUGAGACACGGCCCAGACUCCUACGGGAGGCAGCAGUGGGGAAUUUUGGACAAUGGACGCAAGUCUGAUCCAGCCAUGCCGCGUGCGGGAAGAAGGCCUUUGGGCUGUAAACCGCUUUUGUCAGGGAAGAAAAGGCUCCUUCUAAUAUAGGGGGCUCAUGACGGUACCUGAAGAAUAAGCACCGGCUAACUACGUGCCAGCCGCCGCCGUAA